rnacentral:rRNA from 1 species
AUUGAACGCUGGCGGCAGGCCUAACACAUGCAAGACGAGCGGAGCGGCGGAAGGGGGAGUAAUGCCGAGGAAUCUGCCUGGUAGUGGGGGAUAACGCCCGGCAACGGGCGCUAAUACCAAAUACUAACAGAUGAGCCUAGGGCGGAUUAGCUAGUUGGUGUGGUAAAGGCCUACCAAGGCGACGAUCCGUAACUGGUCUGAGAGGAUGAUCAGUCACACGGCUACUGAAACAAGUGCACGACUCCUACGGGAUGCAGCAGUGCGGAAGAUUGCGCAAUGCACUAAAGCCUGAUCCAGCCAUGCCCCGUGUGUGAAUAAGGUCGUCGGAUUGUAAAGCACUUUAAGUUCGGGGGCGUUACUAACAGAAUAGGCACCGGCUAACUUCGUGCCAGCAGCCGCGGUAAUUC